AGAGUUUGAUCAUGGCUCAGGACGAACGCUGGCGGCGUGCUUAACACAUGCAAGUCGAACGAUGAACCACUUCGGUGGGGAUUAGUGGCGAACGGGUGAGUAACACGUGGGCAAUCUGCCCUGCACUCUGGGACAAGCCCUGGAAACGGGGUCUAAUACCGGAUACUGACCCUCGCAGGCAUCUGCGAGGUUCGAAAGCUCCGGCGGUGCAGGAUGAGCCCGCGGCCCAUCAGCUUGUUGGUGAGGUAAUGGCUCACCAAGGCGACGACGGGUAGCCGGCCUGAGAGGGCGACCGGCCACACUGGGACUGAGACACGGCCCAGACUCCUACGGGAGGCAGCAGUGGGGAAUAUUGCACAAUGGGCGAAAGCCUGAUGCAGCGACGCCGCGUGAGGGAUGACGGCCUUCGGGUUGUAAACCUCUUUCAGCAGGGAAGAAGCGAAAGUGACGGUACCUGCAGAAGAAGCGCCGGCUAACUACGUGCCAGCAGCCGCGGUAAUACGUAGGGCGCAAGCGUUGUCCGGAAUUAUUGGGCGUAAAGAGCUCGUAGGCGGCUUGUCGCGUCGGUUGUGAAAGCCCGGGGCUUAACCCCGGGUCUGCAGUCGAUACGGGCAGGCUAGAGUUCGGUAGGGGAGAUCGGAAUUCCUGGUGUAGCGGUGAAAUGCGCAGAUAUCAGGAGGAACACCGGUGGCGAAGGCGGAUCUCUGGGCCGAUACUGACGCUGAGGAGCGAAAGCGUGGGGAGCGAACAGGAUUAGAUACCCUGGUAGUCCACGCCGUAAACGGUGGGCACUAGGUGUGGGCAACAUUCCACGUUGUCCGUGCCGCAGCUAACGCAUUAAGUGCCCCGCCUGGGGAGUACGGCCGCAAGGCUAAAACUCAAAGGAAUUGACGG
rnacentral:rRNA from 1 species